AUGUACAUUCCUACAACAUAGCAUUUAUGCAGCGGAUCCUAUUAGAACUUCACAGUUAAAUGUGCUCAGGAUAGAGUAGUAAUAUGAUGGGUGACCACUCGGAAAGUCCUAGUGUUUUACAUG
rnacentral:rRNA from 1 species